UAUUAUAAUUAUUCAUUAUACUCUUGUACCUUUUGAAUUAAUUUAUGUGAUUGCGAUAGUGCCAAUGUUAAAAGGUAUCUCAUAUACUUAUUGACCCGUACUGGCUCUAAUCUGGAUCUGCAAUAAGAUAAAUUUGUACAAAUUUGCGAUCGUUGGGUCAAUGUAGUAACAGCAAGCUCCCAGAUAAGUGAUACACUUGCCCUUGAAUUUUAAACAUGAUCACCCGUAUUACAACCUAUGUUCGAACGACGAUGUCUACCAGACAUGACUUUAUAUUUUCUGUACAAAGUAUGUACUAUUGUACGAGAUAACGUCAAAUAUCAAGCCGCCGGACCGGGAAGAAUCGAAUCCAAGUUUCUGGCUUGCCGGGCAAUUACCUACCGCUAAGCUACCCGACCGCACAGAUGUAAGACGUUAUCACCCCUCAGUUAACGGGAGUUUACACAUGGUAAAACCGCGCAUACACUAGACUCCGGACCGGCCGGACCGACCGAACCGAAAAUAAUUCGGUCCGAAUUUUUUCGGGUAUAGCUGCAUUGAGUGUCCCCGAAUUUUCGUUCCGAAAACAAAGUUAAUAGCUAAAUAGAUAAUUAAAUAAUCAUAUUAUGUCGUGACUUAUAAUAAUAACUAGAGUAAACUACGUAUUAUAAAUAUUUUCUACAAUCAGUUUUCGACAGUUGACGAAUGCAGUGCAUGGUGUGCAAUUCUCACGUGCGAUGUAUUUACAACUACUAAAAUACUUACGAGUUAGUACGAAUACAUUAUCGAAAAACCAAUGUGAAACGGUCGAUAAAAUUAUAGAUAAAACGCACGUUUUCAAAACAUAUGUACUAAAAUAUCACGAUUUAAGAUAUAUCUUAAGUACUUAAUACUAGGACAUAGUAGGUACUAGGUAAUAGGUACACAACGAUGUUAUUAAAACACCAAAUGUAAUAUGACCACAAUAUUUAAUUUAUUAUCAACGUCUCAAAUCAAGAGGUAGGACCUAUACAUAGAAUAGUAUCACUAAUUUUCGGCCGAAAAAUUCAAACAUGUUUGAACGGUUGAAAUCCGAACCGACCCGAAUUUCGGUUCGGGUUAUCGGUUCGGUACAAGUAUAUGCACUCACAUAUAAAAUCGGCAUUUUGAUUUUUUUCGGUUCGGUCGGUUCGGGUCUAGUGUAUGCGCGGCUUAAGACACCACACGCAUAGUAAUAUAAUACAGUCUUUAGUCUUCAGUCAUUUUUUUUUUUUUUUUACAAAAAACUUUCCUCCCCUUGAAUCACUCUAUCGAUUAAAAAAACCCGCAAGAAAAUCCGUAGCAUAGUUCUAAAGAUCUAAGCAACUGUAUGCUGCAUGCAUAGAGACAAACACGGAACAAAUUUAUAGAUUUUUUAAUAUGAAUAUUAAAAUUAUAUAUUUAGUA